AAAGCUGACCGUGUGAGAGCUUCGCAACAGAGUGUGGGUGAAGUGACUUUUUGUUUCAACGGUCGCACCACCGUCCGUGGAAAACUGUGUUUCCAGCCAUGACCGCCGAGGCUAAAGGCUAGCCCGGACUGCUUGGCUGCGCCACGGAGGCAGCUGCUAUGGACUGUCGGAGAGCUGGACAGUGACUGGCUAACGUGCUGUAGCAGAGACAGCAUCGGGUCCGCAGGGAGUGGAUUUAGUGUGGGACUGGUGAAUGGCGACCUACCGAAGAACGGAACUGUAAGUCAGACUUUUGUGCUCUUACUGGAGAGAAGAGGAUUUUUCUCCAUCGUCCGGCGUGAGCAGCAAACAGGCCUGCAACAAGUGUGAAUGUGAAACAGAUGAAAAGUUGUUGCAGCAGCGACUCGUGGAAAGUGAAGCUGGAAAAGUGCAGGAUGUGGGAGAUGUAGUAACUCCAACUGUUAUAAUGGUUGUUUGUUAUGUUGCGGUUGCUGUUAUUGUUGUUGGUUUUCUGACAUUAUUCAUAUUUAAAAGAUUUCAGUUAAAAGGACUAGAUGUUACAGUCCCUGAUAAUGCAUUGCUUUAAAUGGCGAGAAUCUUGAGGGAUGGCUGCUAUGAGGAAAGGCAGCCCAGAGACAUCGUUGUGUGCCUCAACUUUCGGUCUUUUAUCCAGGCUAAUCUGCCAUUUUUAGGAGGAUUAGAGAUCAGAUCUAGAUAUCAUAUUAAGAUUUGGGACACAUCGUCAGUAGUCGACCUUGGAUUCAUCGGGUGUUUCGGCCAUUAUCAUUAGACACCCUCAUCAAGGAGGCCCUGCCAGGGUUGAUCAGGCCCUGGAGUCACUGGUUUAUGUUAAAUUGUUAUUUCUCUUCUUCUUUCUUCUGUUUAGUUUCCUACAGUUUAUUUUCUAUCUAUUCACUGCAACUGAGAAAUAAUGCUUACCUCUUUAGCAUUUAUGAAGCCCUACUUCUUUAAAGGGAUAGAAAAGGUGAUAGAGAGAAAUAAGACAAAAGGGACGAGAUAGGAGAGAGCAGAGAGGAGAGCCGGAAGGGGGGCGCCUGAUCUGGCUUCCCACACCUCCCCGCUGGAUCAGGCUGUACGCUCUACCUCCCCACUGCCUCCCAGAAAAGCGAAGAAGAGCAGAGGGGAGAAGAGCGGAACAUUUCUUUUCUCUCGUGGUUAGCUGACUGCCGUAGCUGCCCAAGUGUUGUCAGCCCUUUUUAGCCAUAGCCAGUGACUGGUCCUCUCAACAGUGUUAGCUAGUUCUCUUAUAGCCUGCAGUUGCGCCUGUCCUCUGAUUCCAGUCUCUCUAAGCAGUUUUGCUGUUGUACUGAAAGCUCCUGCACCCCACUUCCACCGGGCGCACCUUGAUCUUCCAGCCUCUGUCCUCUGCCUCAGCUGCCAAGUUGGCAUACCGCAGCUUCUUACGCUGCUUCCUCCCCUGGUACCAUCAGCUCAAUGACGUACGCAAGUUUUUGGGAGUUAGACCAAAGGUGAGGUCUGGUUGCAGAGUAGUUGUUACGAUCUCUGUGGGGGAAAUUAGCCUCUGAUCCAAGUCCACUUUUAUCUGCCAAUCCCAGAUGCAGCUUUCAGUCUGGAGUAAGAGGAAGUCGAUUUAACAUGUCCGGAAAUAUGAUUUUAUAAAAAGAAACAUUACAGAUUUGAUGAACUAACAUUGAUGGCAGCUUUGCCAGGCAGCUAAGCAACAUGGACUUCUAGUUUAAAAGUGAAAAAUAAGAAAUAAAAAAACUGUUCUGUGGUUAUCAAAAACAUAACAGCUCCUCAAACUCCUCAAAUAAACAGCAAAUUCAGCCUGGAGCUUCUCACUGAAAAUAAACAUAAUAAAAUAAAUAGAAAAUUCUGGAAAAAAAAAUCACAAAAAAUGCUUCUGAUUGGUGCUAAAAAAAGGAUUCAGACUGUAAGAGUUACUGAAUUGUUUGUUGUUUGUUUACUGUCAUCAGUCUGUGUUUGAUGUUGAUCCAGGAUAAUGUGAACCAACGAUCCUUGUAUCGUCACCAGAGUUUGCACAAAGUCGUAUGGUGCUGUUUAAUAACAAAUGUGUGUUUAGCUCAGUGUCAGUGUCCUUUGCACGAGUGGUCAACUGCUGCUUUGAACUCUUUGAUCUAUUUUUUUUGUAAACGCUGUAUACUGGUUUGUUCUGGUUUCUGUCUGUUGUGUAGUAACUGUUCACCUGUACAUCUGCCCUAAUUACCAGUAUGAGGUUCAGAAAUGUCUUGGCCAUCAAAUUAUUAAUUAAUAAUUAAUUAAUAAAAAAUGGAUAAAAACUGAAAAAGGAAACUUGAAAUGUGUCACAACUUUC
ensembl:lncRNA